ACUCUUUUUCUGGGCGCUGCUGGUUUCCAGUUCAGGAAAACAAGUCGGUAGGGUAGGCAGGGUUGUCCAAUUAGAAGAAGGACUCUGGGACAAGGAACUGGAAGAACAGCACCAUGAUGCUGACUUUUCAGAGACACAAAUGCAGGGAGAAGAUACAAAAGUAUAAUCUGUUCUGCAAAGAUCAGGGAAGGUGAAAAGAUGGUUGGAAACUACAGAUGACAGCAAUGAAAAAAAUGAAACAAGCAAGCUGAUUCCUGAGGAGAGCGGAAGAAAACAGUGUGAUGGGAGCUGACCAGAACCGAGAAGAUUCCUGGAAGUUUACAUGUGAAGGAAAUCCUGAUUCUGGUUUCCACCUUCCACCUGCCAUGCUUUCCUCUCCCAUAUGGCCCCUAUUCUCGCCUUUUACCACCCCUCAGAGUUCCUACCCUCUUAGAAUCAGUUUGAGGCUAUGGAUGAUAGCCAUUGUUAGCUUAGAACAAAAUUCUAAUUCAGCUCCUUUUCAACAGAUGGAAAAAUUGAGGCCAAUAGUUCCCAAUCCAAUAUGGUUAAAUACCACAUAAUAACUGAAAUCAGUUUUUCUUUAUAAUGUAUUCCUACUGAAAAGUAUAUUUAAAAUUUCUGUCGGAUACAGGAAUUUUGUUUAGCAAAUAACUACAACCUCAAAUCUGAAAUUCACUGUAUAAAGGUGACAUCUGCAACCAUUAGCAUCCUCUAACAAAAUUACAUGCCUUUAAUGAAAGCAAAAAGGUUUGUAAUGUAUUAAAAUUUACUUGAUUUAUCUCUGAUUACUGGGAUUAUUUCCUAAAGUCUAUAUAAUUGAUUAUAGCCUGUGUUAUAGCUGUGGAUGUAUUAUAUACCGGGUCAAAUCUACAAUGACCUCAAGAUAUAACCUGGAACUUGCUUUCUUUAAAAAAAUAAAAUACCUGUUAUCAGCUUGC